UGGCCGGAACGCCGCAGCUUCUCCGAAGCCGGCCUCGGCCCCGUCCCCGCGAAAUGGAGGGGCGCCUGCGUCGCCGGGGCCGGCUUCCCAGCCACCUCCUGCAACCGGAAACUCGUCGGUGCCCGCUACUUCUCCGGCGGCUACGAGGCGACCAGCGGCCGCAUGAACGAGUCCGCCGAGCUCCGCUCCCCGCGUGACACCGACGGCCACGGCACCCACACCG
rnacentral:misc_RNA from 1 species